AGAGCACCGGACGACAACAGCAGCAGCAACAACGCGGCAGCCGCCACCAUGGCCCUGCAGGCUGAUUUUGACAGGGCUGCAGAAGAUGUGAGGAAGCUGAAAGCAAGACCAGAUGAUGGAGAACUGAAAGAACUCUAUGGGCUUUACAAACAAGCAAUAGUUGGAGACAUUAAUAUUGGAUGUGACACGUGGCAGCAGGAUGGCACUGGGGCACACAGUUCAACUCAAGAUAUCUAUUGAAAUCGAGGCUCCUACCCAGAUAUCUUUAGUGGAUGAAGCAUCAGGAGAGGUUUUUAUUUCAGGGCAAUAAUGGAACUAUCUUGUACACAGGGGACUUCAGAUUGGUGCAAGGAGAAGCUGCUAGAAUGGAGCUUUUGCACUCCGGGGGCAGACAUCCAAAGUGUAUAUUUAGAUACUAUGUUGUGUGAUCCAAGAUUUUACCAAAUUCCAAGUCAGGAGGAGUGUUUAUGUGGAGUCUUAGAGCUGGUUCAAAGCUGGAUCACUCAGAGCCUGUACCAUGUUGUGUGGCUGAACUGCAAAGCGGCUUAUGGCUAUGAAUAUUUGUUCACCAACCUUAGUGAAGAAUUAGGAGUCCAGAUUCAUGUCAAUAAGCUAGACAUGUUUAGGAACAUGCCUGAGAUCCUUCAUCAUCUCACAACAGACCGCAACACUCAGAUCCAUGCAUGGUGGCACCCCAAGGUACAUGUGUGAGUGGCUCGAGACCUCCAAAAGUUUCCCACCAGAGACCUAGGCUGCGUGUUGCUCUGGUAGGUUGAUGAGCUUUGGCUGGGACACCCCACGGCAGUCGGGUGCACCAAGGGAACGGAUUGCCCUACGCCCACACCUGGAGGACUGUGGGUAUAAGGUGUCCAAGAAAAAAGCUCAGAUCUGCUGACAGCAGGUAUGUUCCUUGGGAUAUACUAUCUGACAGGGGGAAUGCAGCCUCGUAUCAGAAACAAAGCAGGUCAUUUGCCAUCUAGCAGAGCCUAAGAGCAGA
rnacentral:lncRNA from 10 species